rnacentral:rRNA from 1 species
UACGGAGGGAGCUAGCGUUGUUCGGAAUUACUGGGCGUAAAGCGUACGUAGGCGGUUAUUCAAGUCAGAGGUGAAAGCCCGGGGCUCAACCCCGGAACUGCCUUUGAAACUAGAUAGCUAGAAUCUUGGAGAGGUCAGUGGAAUUCCGAGUGUAGAGGUAGAAAUUCGUAGAUAUUCGGAAGAACACCAGUGGCGAAGGCGACUGACUGGACAAGUAUUGACGCUGAGGUACGAAAGCGUGGGGAGCAAACAGGG